CCUACGGGAGGCAGCAGUAGGGAAUCUUGCGCAAUGGGCGAAAGCCUGACGCAGCAACGCCGCGUGAUCGAGACGCCCUUCGGGGUGUAAAGAUCUGUCAGUGAGGACGGAACUUGACGGUACCCACAGAGGAAGCACCGGCUAACUCCGUGCCAGCAGCCGCGGUAAUACGGGGGGUGCAAGCGUUGUCCGGAAUCAUUGGGCGUAAAGAGUGCGUAGGCGGCACGUAAAGUCUGGUGUGAAAGGCAGAGGCUCAACUUCUGUACGGCACUGGAUACUUGCGAGCUAGAAUGCGGUAGAGGUAAAGGGAAUUCCUGGUGUAGCGGUGAAAUGCGUAGAUAUCAGGAGGAACAUCGGUGGCGUAAGCGCUUUACUGGGCCGUAAUUGACGCUGAGGAACGAAAGCCAGGGGAGCAAAUGGGAUUAGAUACCCGUGUAGUC
rnacentral:rRNA from 1 species